GACGAACGCUGGCGGCGUGCUUAACACAUGCAAGUCGAACGGAAAGGCCCCUCUGGGGGUACUCGCGUGGCUAACGGGCGAGUAACACGUGAGUAACCUGCCCUUGACUUCGGGAUAACUUCAGUAAACUGGGGCUAAUACCGGAUAGGUAUCCUUGCUGCAUGGUGGGGGUUGGAAAGCUUCGGCGGUUUUGGAUGGACCUGCGGCUUAUCAGCUUGGUGGUGGGGUAGUGGCUUACCUAGGCUUUGAAUGGUAGCCGGCCGGGGGGGGGGAACGGCCACAUUGGGACUGAGAUACGGCCCAGACCCCUACGGGGGGGAAGAGGUGGGGAUAUUGGACAAAGGGGGGGAGCCUGAUGGAAGAACGGCGGGGGCGGGAUGACGGGCUUCGGGUUGGUAAACGGUUUCAGCAGGGGAGGAGCUUGUGGUGACGGUAACUGCAGAAGAAGCACCGGCUAACUACGUG
rnacentral:rRNA from 1 species